rnacentral:rRNA from 1 species
GUCGAACGCUUUGUGGUUCAACUGAUUUGAAGAGCUUGCUCAGAUCUUUCGAUGGACAUUGCAAAGAGUGGCGAACGGGUGAGUAACAUUUGGGAAACCUACCUCUUAGCAGGGGAUAACAUUUGGAAACAGAUGCUAAUACCGUAUAACAAUGACAACCGCAUGGUUGUUAUUUAAAAGAUGGUUCUGCUAUCACUAAGAGAUGGUCCCGCGGUGCAUUAGCUAGUUGGUAAGGUAAUGGCUUACCAAGGCGAUGAUGCAUAGCCGAGUUGAGAGACUGAUCGGCCACAAUGGGACUGAGACACGGCCCAUACUCCUACGGGAGGCAGCAGUAGGGAAUCUUCCACAAUGGGCGAAAGCCUGAUGGAGCAACGCCGCGUGUGUGAUGAAGGGUUUCGGCUCGUAAAACACUGUUGUAAGAGAAGAAUGACAUUGAGAGUAACUGUUCAAUGUGUGACGGUAUCUUACCAGAAAGGAACGGCUAAAUACGUGCCAGCAGCCGCGGUAAUACGUAUGUUCCAGGCGUUAUCCGGAUUUAUUGGGCGUAAAGCGAGCGCAGACGGUUAUUUAAGUCUGAAGUGAAAGCCCUCAGCUCAACUGAGGAAUUGCUUUGGAAACUGGAUGACUUGAGUGCAGUAGAGGAAAGUGGAACUCCAUGUGUAGCGGUGAAAUGCGUAGAUAUAUGGAAGAACACCAGUGGCGAAGGCGGCUUUCUGGACUGUAACUGACGUUGAGGCUCGAAAGUGUGGGU